rnacentral:rRNA from 1 species
GUGAGGAAUUUUCCGCAAUGGGCGAAAGCCUGACGGAGCAAUGCCGCGUGAAGGAUGAAGGCCUAUGGGUUGUAAACUUCUUUUCUCAGAAAAGAAUUAUGACGGUAUCUGAGGAAUAAGCAUCGGCUAACUCUGUGCCAGCAGCCGCGGUAAGACAGAGGAUGCAAGCGUUAUCCGGAAUGAUUGGGCGUAAAGCGUCUGUAGGUUGUUUAAAAAGUAUUCUGUCAAAGAUUAGGGCUUAACCCUAGAUAGGCAGAAUAAACUUUUAAGCUAGAGUUUGGUAGAGGCAGAGGGAAUUCCCGGUGGAGCGGUGAAAUGCGUAGAUAUCGGGAGGAACACCAAAGGCGGAGGCACUCUGCUGGGCCAAUACUAACACUGAGAGACGAAAGCGAGGGGAGCAAAUGGGAUUAGAUACCCUAGUAGUCC